UACGGAAGGUGCAAGCGUUGUUCGGAGUGACUGGGCGUAAAGGGCGCGUAGGCUGGAAAGUAAGAAGAUUGUGAAAACCCCGGGCUUAACCUGGGACGUGCAGUUUUGACUGCUUUUCUUGAAUGUCUGAGAGGUUAGUGGAAUUACAGGUGUAGGAGUGAAAUCCGUAGAUAUCUGUAGGAACACCGGAGGCGAAGGCGGCUAACUGGUAGAACAUUGACGCUGAGGCGCGAAAGCGCGGGUAGCAAACAGG
rnacentral:rRNA from 1 species